CCCCCCUUUUGGAUAGCCAUCUUUGGAUAACAAGUAGUAUCAAAGCAGGUGCUCACUUGUUACUCAAUUCUUUAAGCAAAAGAUUUAAUGACAAAUCUAAUUGAGACUUCAUUGGUUGAAGGGUAAUCAAUCAAUAGACCUUCACUUUUCAAUGAGACCAACUAUACCUAUUGAGAAGCAAGAAUGAGAAUAUUUAUCCAAGCACA
rnacentral:lncRNA from 1 species